CCUGCCCCGCGGCGCCCGCAGCCUGCCACGGAGGCUCCGACCUGCGGGACAGAACACGCACGACCCGCUACUGUUAUUUUCUACGUGAGCAAACUGAGAAGCUGUGUCAUCACUGGGUGGAUAAGAUCAUCUCUGACGUGGGAGGUGCUGUGACGCUGCGUGGUGUGGCUGAUUUCCAGUUAAAGAAAAGAAACUGACUAAGCUGAAAUUAUGACUCACUUUCCUUUUCAUGGAACACAGCAGUGAAGUUUGGUUUCAAAGGAAACAACAGUUGGAACACAAAACAAUUAGAGAUGCAUUUUCAAAUUGUGAUCAAUAACCUGUUGCCUUUAUUCUAGUGUUCAGAUAAAAAUAAAACUCUUAUCUAUAUCCACUAAAGCACCAAGGAAAACCAUGAGAUGUGGCUGAAAGAUUAAUAAAAAGCCAGUUAAUUAAUAUUGA